AUUGAACGCUGGCGGCAUGCCUUACACAUGCAAGUCGAACGGCAGCACGGGUGCUUGCACCUGGUGGCGAGUGGCGAACGGGUGAGUAAUACAUCGGAACAUGUCCUGUAGUGGGGGAUAGCCCGGCGAAAGCCGGAUUAAUACCGCAUACGAUCUACGGAUGAAAGCGGGGGACCUUCGUGCCUCGCGCUAUAGGGUUGGCCGAUGGCUGAUUAGCUAGUUGGUGGGGUAAAGGCCUACCAAGGCGACGAUCAGUAGCUGGUCUGAGAGGACGACCAGCAACACUGGGACUGAGACACGGACCAGACUCCUACGGGAGGCAGCAGUGGGGAAUUUUGGACAAUGGGCGAAAGCCUGAUCCAGCAAUGCCGCGUGUGUGAAGAAGGACUUCGGGUUGUAAAGCACUUUUGUCCGGAAAGAAAUCCUUGGCCCUAAUACGGUCGGGGGAUGACGGUACCGGAAGAAUAAGCACCGGCUAACUACGUG
rnacentral:rRNA from 1 species